rnacentral:rRNA from 1 species
UUAAAUUGAAGAGUUUGAUCAUGGCUCAGAUUGAACGCUGGCGGCAGGCCUAACACAUGCAAGUCGAACGGUAACAGGAAGCAGCUUGCUGCUUUGCUGACGAGUGGCGGACGGGUGAGUAAUGUCUGGGAAACUGCCUGAUGGAGGGGGAUAACUACUGGAAACGGUAGCUAAUACCGCAUAACGUCGCAAGACCAAAGAGGGGGACCUUCGGGCCUCUUGCCAUCGGAUGUGCCCAGAUGGGAUUAGCUAGUAGGUGGGGUAACGGCUCACCUAGGCGACGAUCCCUAGCUGGUCUGAGAGGAUGACCAGCCACACUGGAACUGAGACACGGUCCAGACUCCUACGGGAGGCAGCAGUGGGGAAUAUUGCACAAUGGGCGCAAGCCUGAUGCAGCCAUGCCGCGUGUAUGA